GACGAACGCUGGCGGCGUGCUUAACACAUGCAAGUCGAACGGAAAGGCCCUGCUUUUGUGGGGUGCUCGAGUGGCGAACGGGUGAGUAACACGUGAGUAACCUGCCCUUGACUUUGGGAUAACUUCAGGAAACUGGGGCUAAUACCGGAUAGGAGCUCCUGCUGCAUGGUGGGGGUUGGAAAGUUUCGGCGGUUGGGGAUGGACUCGCGGCUUAUCAGCUUGUUGGUGGGGUAGUGGCUUACCAAGGCUUUGACGGGUAGCCGGCCUGAGAGGGUGACCGGCCACAUUGGGACUGGGAGACGGCGCAGGCUGCUACGGGAGGCAGCAGUGGGGAAUAUUGCACAAUGGGCGGAAGCCUGAGGCAGCAACGCCGCGUGCGGGAUGACGGCCUUCGGGUGGUAAACCGCUUUCGCCUGUGACGAAGCGUGAGUGACGGUAAUGGGUAAAGAAGCACCGGCUAACUAC
rnacentral:rRNA from 1 species